rnacentral:rRNA from 1 species
UACGGGGGGAGCAAGCGUUGUUCGGAUUUACUGGGCGUAAAGGGCGCGUAGGCGGCCACCGCAAGUCGACUGUGAAAUCUCCGGGCUUAACCCGGAAAGGUCAGCCGAUACUGCGGGGCUAGAGUGCAGAAGGGGCAACUGGGAAUUCUCGGUGUAGCGGUGAAAUGACGUAGAUAUCGAGAGGAACACCUGCGGCGAAGGCGGGUUGCUGGGCUGACACUGACGCUGAUGCGCGAAAGCUAGGGGAGCGAACGGG